rnacentral:rRNA from 1 species
UAGAUGGCCUUUGCUAGUUUUCUAGCGAAUGGUUCAUUCUUUUUUACUGUGAACUGUUUUAAUUUUUCAGCGUCUGAGGAAUGUCUUUUAGCCAUAGGGAUAGGCUACUAGAAUGUUAACCGAGCUGAAAGUCAGGCUUAGGCCUGGUAUCCUAUUAAUUAUUUACCAAAAGAAUUCAGUAUUAUAAUUGUAACAUAAGCGUAAAAAACUUAUAAAACAACUUUUAACAACGGAUCUCUUGGUUCUCGCAUCGAUGAAGAACGUAGCAAAGUGCGAUAACUAGUGUGAAUUGCAUAUUCAGUGAAUCAUCGAGUCUUUGAACGCAACUUGCGCUCAAUGGUAUUCCAUUGAGCACGCCUGUUUCAGUAUCAAAAACACCCCACAUUCAUAAUUUUGUUGUGAAUGGAAAUGAGAGUUUCGGCUUUAUUGCUGAAUUCUUUAAAAUUAUUAGGCCUGAACUAUUGUUCUUUCUGCCUGAACAUUUUUUUAAUAUAAAGGAAUGCUCUAGUAAAAAGACUAUCUCUGGGGCCUCCCAAAUAAAUCAUUCUUAAAUUUGAUCUGAAAUCAGGCGGGAUUACCCGCUGAACUUAAGCAUAUCAAUAAGCGGGGGAA